rnacentral:lncRNA from 1 species
UAUGAUGUGCCAUUGGGAAGAAAGGAUGGGCUAAACUUUGCAACACAAAAUGCAACCCAAGCAAACCUUCCCCCUCCCUCAAGCAACACAAGCAAACUUCUCACAGACCUGGCAAAGAAGAACCUAGAUGCCACAGAUGUUGUAGCCCUCUCUGGUGGCCACACCAUUGGCCUUGGCCAUUGCUCCUCCUUCACUGACAGGCUCUACCCAACCCAAGACCCUACCAUGGACAAAACUUUUGCCAAUGAC